rnacentral:rRNA from 1 species
AUUGAACGCUGGCGGCAUGCCUUACACAUGCAAGUCGAACGGCAGCACGGGAGCAAUCCUGGUGGCGAGUGGCGAACGGGUGAGUAAUAUAUCGGAACGUGCCCAGUCGUGGGGGAUAACGUAGCGAAAGCUACGCUAAUACCGCAUACGAUCUAUGGAUGAAAGCGGGGGAUCGCAAGACCUCGCGCGAUUGGAGCGGCCGAUAUCAGAUUAGCUAGUUGGUGGGGUAAAGGCCCACCAAGGCGACGAUCUGUAGCUGGUCUGAGAGGACGACCAGCCACACUGGGACUGAGACACGGCCCAGACUCCUACGGGAGGCAGCAGUGGGGGAAUUUUUGGGACAAUGGGCGCAAGCCUGAUCCAGCAAUGCCGCGUGCAGGACGAAGGCCUUCGGUUGGUAAACCACUAGUCGCGAGGGACGAAGAUCUGACGGUACCUCGAAAGGAAGCACCGGCUAACUCUGUGCCAGCAGCCGCGGUAAU